rnacentral:lncRNA from 1 species
UGGAAACCAACGUAGAUGGGUUUAUAUGUCUGAAACAACACACAGAAAACAGAUCAGAUGGAGGGGCGAACAAGAAAAAAGCUCAGAUGAUUUCAAGGGUCUGAGGCUUUUAACCAGCAGAGCUCACUAUCUUCUGUCUUCCCAGCAAACAACCAAGGAUUCCAGUGGAUUAUAUUUUAUCAACUGGAAGUAAUCCUGACAUUCAUUUUAGAGUCUUCAGAUUUAGCUGCAGAACCUUUUUUUACAACUGCUCCCCCCAAAAGCUAUAAAAAUGACUUUGUAGCGACUCAUUGCCAACG